rnacentral:rRNA from 1 species
UACGAAGGGUGCAAGCGUUAAUCGGAAUUACUGGGCGUAAAGGGUGCGUAGGCGGUUAGUUAAGUCUGUCGUGAAAGCCCCGGGCUCAACCUGGGAAUUGCAUUUGAGACUGCUCUGCUCGGGUGCGGAAGAGGGGAGCGGAAUUUCCGGUGUAGCGGUGAAAUGCGUAGAUAUCGGAAGGAACACCAGUGGCGAAAGCGGCUUCCUGGUCCGACACCGACGUUCAGGCACGAAAGCGUGGGGAGCAAACAGG